rnacentral:pre_miRNA from 1 species
GCAGGAAAAUGCAGGAAAGUGUACAGUUAUGUAAUACAUAACUGUACACUUUCCUGCAUUUUUUUU